AAUUCGUGAUAGGGACAUAUAUUCAUCAGAUCCUUGAACCUCUCCCAAAAAACCUAGAAGGUCUCAUCACCUUUCUGCAUAAACUGACCGAUCUGCUCCUACAGGU